AUGCGCAAGAAUAGGAAUAAGUUCGCCGGCGAGAUACCUGACGCGCUCCGCAAUUGCACCGCCCUCGACGUCGCGUACCUCAACAACAACAACCUCGAUCGUCGGCGGCGUUCCACGGUGGCUCGACGCGUUGUCGAAUCUCACGGUGCUCCGGUUCAGCCACAACUCGCUCUCCAGCCACAUCCCGCCAUCGCUGGCGAACCUCACGAAGAUCGUCUCGAGUUCGACCAGAACCUUAUGGAAAGUUCCAUCCCCGACGGCUUGUCACGCCUCCCAGCGCUCCGCAUGUUAGCCUUGUCGCAGAACAGCCUCACUGGAGAGAUCCCGCCGAGUUUCUUCAACAUGACGUCGUUGCGAGGCCUCACACUCGCGAACAACGUGUUCCGUGGCGAGCUCCCAGCCGAUCGACGGCGUUGGAUGCUGCCGUGGAGAGCAUCCGCGCGGGCGCGGGAGACAAUGAGAGGAGCGCCCGCCCCAGGGAGGGGAGGCUCCGCAGGAGCGGGGCAUCCAUCUCAUCGGAGCCGUACGCCGACCGAUGACGGCGGCGCCUGGGAGUUCUUGAAUAACCUGACCAACUGCAACGCCUUGGCUGAGAUAUUCCUCGACGGCAACAUGUUCGCCGACAUGAUGUUGAGCUCUGUCGUGGUUCCAUCCACCAUUGGCUGAUUGGCGACCU
rnacentral:lncRNA from 1 species